CCUACGGGUGGCUGCAGUGGGGAAUAUUGGACAAUGGGCGCAAGCCUGAUCCAGCAAUGCCGCGUGUGUGAAGAAGGCCUUCGGGUUGUAAAGCACUUUUAUCGGGAACGAAAAGCGCAGGGCUAAUACCCAUGCGUGCUGACGGUACCCGAGGAAUAAGCACCGGCUAACUUCGUGCCAGCAGCCGCGGUAAUACGAAGGGUGCAAGCGUUAAUCGGAAUUACUGGGCGUAAAGCGUGCGUAGGCGGUUUUCUAAGUCCGUUGUGAAAGCCCUG
rnacentral:rRNA from 1 species